GCGCACAGUCAGCACCGCGGCUAUUUUUACCACUGAGGCGCUUGGUGCUGCGGAAACCUUCCUGGUAGGGGAGGUCGGGUUCCUGCCUCUGCGGGAGCCGUGGCUGAGGCUUUAGAAAGAGCUGAGAUGCCUGCCUGUGGCGUGGUCGGCACAGAGGAGACCAGGGAAGAGAAGCAGCACUGCCGAGUCCCGUCUUCAGCCGGGGACGGUGGAGAAGGAACUGAGGGGGGUGCGGGACGCAGGCGGUCAGGAAGAUUCCAACGAGAAGGGAGAUACCAACUGAGUGCCUGCAUCCCGACCAGGCACGGCUACCAAAAAUCUCCUGUCAACGGUGCCGGGACGCACCGACACCUAGAGUGGAGCACCCACAGGGACAGCACUUGAAGAAGAACCUAAGCUGGAAAGCUCAUAUGGGAAGAAGCGCUUAGUGUGCAAACUGAAAUGCACUUGAAAAAAAGAAUUAAGGGACAACUCUUGGGACACUGAUACUGCAGAAGACCAAUGAAAUUAAAGCCAUCCUCCAUCCUGUUCAAAUAUGCAUUUAUUGUCUGAGCAUUCAUGUUUAAUAGGUAAAUAGACAAUAUUGAAACAGUAGAGUUCUCAUUAUUAAAGACUGUCCUAAAAGCAGUGACAAAUUUUUCAGAUUUGUGCUGAGAAAACAUGUGUUCAGAGUUGUGAAAGAAGCUAACGUAUUAAAGUGGAUUUAUAGUUAGAGCAGAUUACAAUGGCACACCAAUGGGUCAUCUGUAGCAAAGGAUGCAUUUGCCAAGAUAGAGCAGUCGGAAAGGGUCAGUGUAGGGUCAAAAUUUUGUAUAAUUUUGCCUGGAAGUCUGGUCUUUCAGAAUCCUAUUUUGCUGUACCUGUGGCUAUAGGUAUCAUAAUA